UACGGGGGGGCAAGCGUUGUUCGGAAUUACUGGGCGUAAAGGGCGCGUAGGCGGUUUGCUAAGUUGGAUGUGAAAACUCUGGGCUUAACCCAGAGCCUGCAUCCAAAACUGGCAAACUUGAGUACUGGAGGGGAAAGCGGAAUUCCUGGUGUAGCGGUGAAAUGCGUAGAUAUCAGGAGGAACACCGGUGGCGAAGGCGGCUUUCUGGACAGUAACUGACGCUGAGGCGCGAAAGCUAGGGGAGCAAACAGG
rnacentral:rRNA from 1 species